rnacentral:lncRNA from 1 species
GGGCAUUAAGGUGGCUUGGGACGAGAGAGAAUCAAACAACCAAUCGGCUUGGGAAGGGGCUGAGUGGGCCCUUGCUGGCUCAGCCUGUGAAAGGGAGGUGUGCAGAAACAGUGCAGUACAAUAACAUCAACUUUCAAGUGUGGGAUUUAGGUAUGAUGAUCACUACUUCUUGAUCUGGAUCUUUAACAUGUAUAGUAGAUUUUUUAUACUACUGCCCUGAAAGUUUGAUAAUAUUUUCUUAUUGAUUUGAUUGUUUGAAGGUAAAGAGAUGGCGAAGUUCAUAAUUUCUUAUAUCAAAGGCUUGAGAUAAUGUCUGUUAUUGUAAAUAUCAAGUGCAUAAAGUACCUUUAAUCCUCAACUUACAUGAUUCUUUUGCCUCUUGUCGAUAUCUUUAUAUAUCUGUUAUUGGUAUUUCUUCCGUAAAACCAUCAUAAUAGCAGCUUUAAGCAAAUUUACAGCACUGAUCACUCUUUAUCAUCAAAGCUUUACUUUUUCGAUACUGGAUGAAAUAUGAUAUUAUAUGGGAUAUUCUAUCCCUAGCUGCCAAUCCAAAAGCUAUUUCUGCAAACUUAAGGUUCGUCUUUUCUGAUUCCAAGUUUGCUGUUAUUCAAAGCCACUGAACUUCGUCAAAACUAAUAGUAUUAAGUUGUGGAAUUUUAAUGCUUUAGUAUUAGACUGAAAUGUAUUCAUUUAAUACCUUGUUCUGCAAUUUUGCUUUCUUUUAUAAUUUGGAGCUUUAAUAUUUUAAAACAAGUGAUGUCAAUUUCUUGUCUUGAUAACAUCUUUAUUAUUUACUGAUGCAGGUGGAUAGACAAGUAUCAGGUAACUUUCACAAACAAGCAUUUUUUUUAUAUUCCUUCAUUAUUUACUAAUAUUUUGCUGGCCAGUGGCAACUUCGAAAUAAGAUGUUUGGUUUCUAUAAGCUUUAUGUAAAUUUUGUCUUUAUGAGUCUGCAUCUGGCCGCUUAGAAAUUUAAUUAAGCUAAUAGUUUUUGCUCCCAAACUUAUAUGACAUCCUGUAAGUUCUUUUAAGUUGUAAAAGAGGUAUAUGCCUAGAUUUUAUAACUUUGUUAUUAACAAUCCCAUGGCUAAUAAGUGAAUUGUCGUUUUCUUUUUACCUUUAAAACAAACUAACUUUAAGUCUGUCAUAGCAUUUCAAUGUUAUAUUCAUGGGAUGCCACUGUUUGUACCACUUUUAUAAUUAGGAUUUGGGAUUUAAUUUAUUAGCGUUAUUUCAGGUUAUCUCAAUGUCUAAAAGUGUUGAAAUAAAAUAAAAGUUUACAUCUAUGCUUUCGUGUGUUCAUGACAGACAAAAAGAUUAAUCAACCUAUUCAAUUUUAGUAUAUGGUUCAUAUUUUGUUCCCAUAUUCAAUAAAACGGUGCUUCUAGUAUAGACCAGCCUCUGUAGUAACAUUUCAUGCAUUGAAUAUGAUAUAUAGAUUACUUUGUUAUGGUAUAUCUUAUAAAUAUUAAUCAUCCUCUUUCUUAAAAACUUCCUAAAACCUUGUUAUGGUAUAUCUUAUAAAUAUUCCAUACAUUGAAGAUGAUAUAUAGAUUACUUUACAGGCAGUAACAUUGAUCUCAUGGUCUACUAUAGUAACAUUUGUAUUUUAGAAGUUUGAUAAAAAGAAAGAAUGCUACAUGAAAGCCUUCUUUCUGCUCCCUAGAAUGUGAUGAUGACUUGUUUAUAUGUCUGUAACCAACAGCGCUUACUUGGUGUUUACAAUAUCCUACUUUAUUUGUCAAUGCUUGUCUUAUGUAUUUCAUUAAUGCUUCUUCUAGACAAGUUUCAAGUGUGAAUCUUUUACAGGAAGAUGAGCUGAGAGGAGCAACAGUUCUUAUUUUUUUUAUUUUUGCAAAUAAGCAGAUUGGUAAGUUUCAUGUCUCACAUGUAAUCCAUGUUAUCCUGGAAUAUACUUGGCAAAAUUGCCUUGUAGCCUAUGCUAUGAUGAGAUUCAUUGCAUGUAUUUAUAAGUAAGAACUUCAAAGUGAUUUAUGUUCGUGUUCUAUGCAUCUUUCAACAAUAGAAACUAGUUUUAAAGUAAAUCUAUCCACUCAUUGAACAAAUCAUCUUUUAAGUGGUAGAAUGCUGAGUCAUUUGUUUAUGCACAUCGAGUCGUUCAUCAUCAAAGUAAGGGAUCUAUGAACCUAUUUGAUCAUCCUCUAUAACUCCUAAAGGAAAUUAAUUUAUUGGCCAUCAUUGUAGGUUGAAGGUAGCAACAAGAAGGGGCAAAAAUCACUCAAGGGUGUGCUAAGUUAACAAUACCCUUCCAAUGUCUUUGUUGUAAGUUGGUUAUGUGCUCAUCUUUGGAGAGAUGAAAUUUGUUAACGAAAAAGGAGGCUGCCAAGGUAAAAAGCAGCACACCCUAGUAGGCUGCCAAAUGCUAAGAGUCAACAACAACAACAAAAAUGAACAAGGAAAAGGGACAUAAACAAAUAUCUCCACUGGAAUGAUGAUACCAUUACUCUUUUCUAGUAAUACGGGAAAGACAAUAUAUACAUGUUAAGCUGCAUUUAGAAUUCGGAUUUGAUCUUUUUACUUUAAACAAGAACAUUUUGGUUAUAUUUAAUUUUNNNNNNNNNNNNNNNNNNNNNNNNNNNNNNNNNNNNNNNNNNNNNNNNNNNNNNNNNNNNNNNNNNNNNNNNNNNNNNNNNNNNNNNNNNNNNNNNNNNNAACUAUUUUUAUUUUCGAUAUCUUUAAUUUAUGUUAUAUUUAUUUUUGGUCUUCAAACAAUGUUUUAUAUUACUUAUAUUGUUUGAUUAAAAAUUAUAAUUAACACUACAAAAAUUAUCUCAACAAACGAAACAAAAAAAGAAAGAAAGUAAAAUGCUAUAAACAAAUCAUGUUAUGGUAAGAAUGUAAUGUAUAUGGAGUUUUAGAUUUUAUUUAAAUAAAAAUAAUAAUCGAAUAUUUUAAAAUAAAUAAUUUUUAAGAUAUUUAACACACUAUAUACCUAUAAUCGAAUUAAGUUAAUACAAAAUAAAAGAAAUUAAGACAUUAUUUUCUUUUCUCAUAAAAAUUAUUAAAUUCAUAUUAAUCAAAUGGGUAUUUGUUUUAAAAAUAAUUAUUAUACGUCGGUAAUCAAUUAAUCAAAUCCAUAAAAACACAUUUUUUUUCUUUUCUUUCUUUUUUUUUCUUUUUUGGGUAAUUGAUAAAGAAAUGAAUUUCAAGUUUUUUACUUGCAAAGAUAGUUGUAAUUUCUAUUUUGUGCUUUGUAAAUAUUCUUAAUAUGUAUUUUUCAUUUUUCUUUGAUAGUGUGUUAUUGCUUCCUCUUCUUCUUUAGCUUGUUUGAUUGCUUCCUCCACCCACGGUUGAGCGUUUUGCAUUCACUGAAUCACUAUAAGUUCUUUGGCAAUUAAAUUCCUUGAUUUUAUUUUACUAUUAUUGAAAUUAGUAUUGGAGAAAUGUGACCCAUUUACUACGAUUUGAAUAUAUGUAACACUUUAAUAUCUUGCAGCAAUGGUUCGUCUGCAUUGACAAUAUGGUUGCAAAUGUGUACAGUUGCGAGUUGCUUCUUAGUUACAUUAAGUGUCAUCCAUGGCCUACAUACUUAUAGACCAAUGAUUAGAUCCUAUAUUUUAGAUUUUUAUGCAAAAUGAGAUUAUGUGAAAAGACUUGUAUAUGCUAGUGACGAGACCUGUAUUGAUCAAGUUAGGAUGAAUAUAGUUACCUUUUUUAAACUAUGUGAGAUGUUACAAACUUUAGGGGAAUUGAAGUCGUCAAGGAACAAGUUUGUUGAUGAGCAAGUGGCAAUGUUUUUACAGAUCAUUUCUCAUCACCUUAAAAAUUGAGUUAUCAAGCAUUACUUUAAUACGUUCAGGGAAACUGUUAGCAGAUUAUUUCAAAAUGUUUUAAAUGCUAUUAUAUGCUUACAAGAUGUGUUAUUUAAAAAGGCAGAACCAAUUACAGCUAAUUCUACAGACCCAAGGUGGAAAUGGUUCAAGGUAUUGGAGUGAGUUCUAUAUAUAGUUUUUACAUAAUUUAGUUGAUUUAGAUUUAAAUAUAGUAUCCUAACUCAAGGUUUUAUACAUGUGAUGUAGAAUUGCUUAGGUGCUUUAAAUGGAACCUACAUCAAGAUUAGGGUUCCAACAGUUGAUAAACCUAGAUAUCAAACGCGAAAAUGUGACAUAGGAAUAAAUAUGUUAGGUGUUUGUACACCUGAUAUGCAUUUUGUUUAUGUUCUUCCUGGUUGGGAAGGUUCUGUUGCUGAUGAACGGGUUCUUCGAGAUGCCAUUAGUAGGAGACAUUGACUAAAAGUUCCUCAUGGUAAAGUGCAAAAUUAGAGGACUUUGAAUUAAUCUUUAAGAUUAUACUUUUUUGGGAAAUUAACCAUGGCAAAUAGUUUUUUUUAUAGGUUGUUAUUAUCUAGUUGAUGCUGGAUACACAAAUUGUGAGGGAUUUCUUGCACCUUUUAGAGGACAAAGAUAUCAUUUGAAUGAGUGGCGUCAGGGUUACUAGCCAAGUACUCCGAAAGAAUUUUUCAAUAUAAAAUAUGCUUCAGCUCGUAAUGUUAUUGAAAUAUGCUUUGGGUUAUUAAAACUUAGAUGGGGAAUACUUAGGAGUCCAUUAUUCUAUCCUGUGAGGGUGCACAAUAGAAUCAUUACUGCAUGUUGUUUUCUCCAUAAUUUUAUUCGAACUUAUAUGAGUCUUGAUCCUAUUGAAGCGGAGUUGGGAGAAUGAUUACCUAGUAAUGUGAUAGAUGAAAAUGAACCAAAUAUUGUAAAUAUUCAUCCAUCGGAUGCAUAGGCUACUUGGAGGAUGGAACUAGUCAACCAAAUGUUCGAUGAAUGGCAAUCAUCUAGAAAUUAGCUAGGUUUAGGGUAAAAAUAGUAAACGUUAAUUUGUUUAUGUUAUUUCAUGUAUCUAAUUUAUGAAACUUUGGUGGUGUUUGAAUUGUUUUUUGUAUUCUACUAGACUUGUUGAAUUAUAAUUUAUUUUCUUUUGAUUUAUCAUGUGUUAUAAUUUUAUAAAGUGUUGACCUUUUGAUUCAUAAUAUUGAACUGAAUUUUAACUUGUUUUUUUUUUCUUAAGAUAGUUAUGUCAGAUUUUUCAUAAUUAAUUGUUUCUUCCCAAAAUUCUCGAUGAACCAAAAGAAAAUGGGUUCCAGAAGCAGAUGUUGCGUUGGUUGCCUGUAUGGUCGACUUGUACAAUGUUGGAACCUUCAAUGCUGAUACGGGAUUCAAAGCCGGUUAUUUAAAUGAUUUGGAAAAAAUGUUAGAAAAAGUUUUACAAAAUUCCAUGUUGAAGGCUAAACCUAAUCUUAAAUCGAUGAUUAGGACAUUGAAAAGGGAUUGGUCAAUCGCUUAUGACAUGCUUAGUGUAAAAAACAAUAGCGGUUUUGGUUGGGAUGAGCAUAGGCAGCUUGUUGUUGCUGAAGAUGUGGUGUGGAACUCAUAAAUAAAUGUAAGAAUUAUUUCAAGUCUUUAUUAUCUUAUUUUGACCAAGCUUAUAUCUAAUAUGAAUUCUUCAUUUUUUAUAGAGUCAUAAAGAAGCCGGUCAAUUCAAACAUCGUAGUUUCCCUUAUUAUGACCAACUUACUAACAUCUACGCAAAAGAUCGAGCCACUGGGAAAGAUGCUCAAACAGUCGCUGAUAUUAUUGAAGAAAUAGAUGUUGAGGAUGUAGCUACUACAAAUACUCAUGAAGAAAUAAAUGAUUUCUAUAGAUGCGAAGCUGAUGUUUCUUUGGAUGACAUGGAUCUUUCAGCUACACAACCGCAACCAGUUAGAAACCAAGGUGAUUCCAUAUUUUCAAAGAAGAAAAAAAAAGAUAUCUGAUGCAAGUGAUCAUAUUUCUUCUACUUCAUUUCAUGAUGCUGCCACUUUAUUGGCGAAAAACAUACAAACCGUUGGCGUUAAAAUCAAUAGUAGUAUUGCCUCUGAAGUGCUAAUUCAACAAAAGUCAGAAAUGACCAUUCAAGAAAGAAAUCUAAAAUUAUAUCCAACAUUAUGUGAAGUAGAAGGUUUAACUAGAUGAGCGCUAUCGCGCAUUGAGCAAAAUUCCAGAUCAUCCAACGCAAAUGCUCAUUUUCUGUAGCUUACCUUCUUCUGUGCAAUUGGAAUGGGUCAGAAGAUUUUUUGCUGACCAUUAAAAACCAUGGUUGUGUUGAUGAUAUUUUGGUAAUUUUUGUGUUUGUAAUAUUUGGAUGGUAUAAUGACAUGAUAGAAUGUCAUUACAAUGUUGUAACCUUUUGAUGUUGUAAAAUUUUAUAACAUAUGGAUUAUGACAUAUAAACUAAUGAAAUCAUGUAACUUUUUGUUAAUAUAUGAAUAUUAUGUUUGGAUAUGAAAUAUAAUUCUCAAGUUAUUUAUUACGGGCAAAAUACCAAAAAAAGCCCUAUUUUUUAAAAAUUUAUCGAAAUGGGCUCGGUAUUUUAUUAUUUACCGGAAUGGGCCAUUUUCCCCAAAAUCGCGUCCACGUCAGCGCGAUGUUAGGGGAGGUGUCAGCAAAUCGUGUUCACGUCAGCGCACUUUGCUGACGUGGACACAAAUCGCGCCUACGAGGACGCGAUUUUCUGACACAUCAGCAAAACGCGCUAACGUCCACGUGAUUUGAUGACACGUCCCCUGACAUCGCGCUGACGUGGACGCGAUUUUGGGGAAAAUGGUCCAUUCCAGUAUAUAAUAAAAUACCGGGCCUAUUUCGGUAAAUUUUAAAAAAAUAGGGCUUUUAUGUGUAAUUUGGCCCCUUUUUUGGUAUUUUGCCCCUAAUAAUACAUAUUAAUGUAUUACUGUAAUAUGUAGCUCAAAUUAUGUAUUGUAGUUAAUAUUCAUAAUAUUGUAGCUCAAAUUGUCAAUCCGUCUAUACUAUUGUACUAAUAAUAUAUAUUAAUGUAAUAUUGAAGAGUUAAUUGAUUAAAAAAAUAAAUGCAACAAGUACAAAAAAGAUUCAAAAUUUUUAACCAACAAGAUUUGAACCAAGGUACUAAGGGAAAAGAGCAAGCAUCUUAACCAACUAAGCUAAACUAAUUAAUUGGCAUAUUAUAAAAAUACUGUUAUUAUCUUAAUUAUAUUACUUACGUUCUAAUGAUUUAUCGGACCUAUUCCAUAUACGUGUCAAAUCAGAAAAAAUAAUACAACAAUUCUGUAAAAAAAAUCCGGUGUUUACUUCAAAUAAAUAAGGAAAAUAAUGAUUUGAAUGUUUCAAAAUUCAAUUUUAAACAGAAAAAAUCAAAAUUUAGAGGCAAAAAAGGAUCUUUUUCGAUGAAAACUGCAGCAAACCGCCUUCGGCAGUUUUUCAGCGCGUAGAUCUCGAAAAGUUAUUCGAAAUAAAAAAAUGUCUCAAUCGGACAACCGAGCCAAAAGUUAUGGCCUUUCAAAGUUUUCCAAGCGAAAAAACAUAAACUGUUCAUGAAUUAUUGCUUCCACGUCAGCAAAUCGCGCUUACGUGGACGCGAUUUGUUGCCACGUAAGUAAUCACGCUGACGUGGACACGAUUUGCUGAAACAUCCCCUGACAUCGCGCUGACGUAGAUGCGAUUUCGUGAAAAAUGGCUCAUUCCGGUAAAUAAUAAAACACCAGGCACAUUUCGGUAAAAUUUUAAAAAAUAGGACUUUUAUGUGUAAUUUGCCCAUUUAUUACUUCUAAUAUUUUGUUUUUUAUUGUAGAAUAAUUAAAUUAUUUGUUUCACUAAUGAUAUUUUUGCACGUUAAAUAUGUAUUGCAGUUUAAAAAUAAUAAAGAAGAUUAUAUAUUAUUUUUAUAGUAUUAUAUAUUAUGAUUUUUUAAUUCAUAUAAUAAUUUUAUUAAGAAUUUUAUUAAAUUAUAUAUUAUUUUAUUAAAUUAUAUUUAAUAAUAAUUAUGCUAAAAUAUGAUUAAAUUAUUUAUUAUUUUUAUUAAAUUAUUUUUAAUAAUAAUCUUAUUAAAAUUUAAUAACAAUAACAAUAAUCAUCUACCUAAAAAAAAUUCUGCUAAGGGUAUUCUAGUCAUUUUAGUUUUUUUCUUAUGCUAUUAAAACAUCAUUCCAUUCAACCAAACAGAAGAAUAUUAUUACAGUUCUAUUCCAUUCCAUUGAACCAAACAAUUGAAUUACUGAUUACAGUUUUAUUCCAUUACAACUCUAUUCUAUUAUAGUGAAUCAAACGUACUCUUAGUAACAAAUUUAAAAAAAAAAUCAAUUAAGUCCUUUUAAAAUAUAAAAAUUAUUAAAAAUCAUAAAAAUUAUAUAAAAGUUUACAAAUAAAGUUAUAAAAAUUUUAAAAUUUUCUUUUAAAAAUAACAAAAUUCACCUAUUAAAAUCUAAUAGUUAUAAGAUUUUCACAAUGUAAAUUUAAGGAAAGAGCUAUUUUAUUCAUUAAUUUAAUAUAUAAAAAUUAAUUUAUUUAUUUUUUGACGGGGAAAACUAAAAUAGUAAAAAAGUUUAGCACUUUUCCUAUCAUUAGGGGUCUCCCAUGUAAAUAUCACUAAAACGCUAGGGUAAAAGUUUCAUGCUCUGCGCUUUCCGUAAAUUUCUAACCGUAAGACACCCUCGACCCCAGUGGACCCCACCUCACUUACCACUAAGCAUCGAAUGCAAAGGAGAGAGCAUAAAUAAAUAAAAGCAGAUAAAACGCCUCCUCUUAAUUACAAAUUUACAACCAAAAGAGCGAAAAAAAUAAAAAUAAAAAUAAAAAUAAAAAUAAUCUUUCUUCAAAGUUAAAAAGGAAAUUUAAAAAUAACCUAACUAGGGUUUGGGUGACCCGUGGGGAGACAAAAAUUUACACAAUUGCGUGGAAACUGAGAGGGAGAUUAGUGGUUAGUGGGCAGGGGGCAGUGAGUCGAAUCACCGAUUUUUAACUUUUUAUUUUAUUUUUUCGUUGUUCGCUUUAAAUUCGCUUUUUUCGCUCAGCUCAUCAAGAUCGACCUAUCAUUUCUACCGUAAAUUUCGGAUUUCUUUAGAGAGAAACAAAGUAAAUUCAACUGUUGGCUUUUGUUUUUAGUUUAUUUAUUUUUAAUUUUCUAUUGAACGUGGGGAUCGGGGGGGGGGGGGGGGGCAAAAAAGGGGUUUCAUUAAAAAAAAGGAUUUUUGGAGGGAUUCAAGUUGUGAGUGUGGUGGGGGGUUUUUCUUUCCUUUUUUUUGAAUUUUUAUUGUAAUAAUUUGGAAUUUGCGAGGGAAUUUUUGUUGAAGACAGUUGGGGCAAGUUUUUUAUGCAAUCUGGUGGUGGUGGCGGAGCUGGGCCCAGCCGGGACCUGGGAGUGGGCCCGGUCGGACGGGCUACAUCCACAUCGUCCGCAGCUUCGCCCUCUUCGUCGUCAUCGGCCGUUUCGACCCCUCACUGGGGAUAUGAUUCGGUGCAACAGCAGCAGCCGCAGCAGCAAAUAGCUUCUAGGCAGGUAGAGUGUGUAUAGAAUUUCAGUCAACCUAAGGGAACUUUAGUUGUAUUGGCACGUGGUUUUGGGAGCUCAGUAUGUUUCUGCAGACGGGGAGUGAUGAAUUCGUGAAUAUGGCGGGUUUUGGGGAUUCUAAUUUUGUGAAUAAGUGCUAUUUCUGAUAUAAUUACGUUAGGACACAAGAUUGAUUAGUUAGUUCUUGGUACUUAGCUUGCCAUGGGGUGUUUGUUAGAGGAGAGUUAUAUUUAGUAGCAUUAAACUCUUGAGCUCAUAGGUGUUAAGGGAAUCAACCGUACUAAGCUAUUUGUUUCUAGAAAGAUGAAUAAAGGCCUUUCAAUUCGAACUUAUAGAGCAGAUUUUUUUUUUAUCCCUAUUUUUAGGUUCAAGUGUUUGUUGCGUUGUUUAUCCUUUUCUUUUAGAAAUGCUAAUAGAAACAUUUGAAUUCCAAGUAUUUAGUUUACACUGCCCUCUUUCUACACAGCAGUUUUUUUGAAAGUGAGUGUGAGAGAGAGUAAUAUGGAACUGUACUUUAUGCUCUCCUACAGAAUUAAUCAACUUAGAUGCAUGGUUGAAGGUUAAGCUCCACAGACAUGUUAUCAAAGCUUGAUGAAAUUGUUCUUGAUUGAUAGCAUUCUACUAUGACUUAGUCUUUUCUUUUUGAUACAAUAUGUGUGGUUACCAUGACUAGCUUCUAAAUUCUGUUUGAUUACCUCAAAUCUCCUUAGAUGAUGUGUAGAAGAACCUAGCCUUCUUUUUUUCUUCAUCCCAUUUAGAAUCGAUAUGGAAUCUUUAUUGUUUGAGUGUUAUUCACUGGUUGUAUUGGAAUGUUAUCUUCCUUUUGUUUCUUGCGCCUACUGUUUAGUGUUUUGAUUAUAUUAUUACGAAAAUUAGCAUUCCCACCCCAGAAUUAUAUGCCCUUCCUUGGAUUUCCUUUUGGUUUAUAUGGUACAGAUUAAACUUUUAUGGCAUUAACUCCUAGAUGUUCUUGUAGUGAGACCACCAUUCUUUCUACAUUUCUCUUUUAAGGAUGAUUAAAGUAUCAGUGUUUUGUCUGUCACUUCUUGUUUAUGCUGGAAUCACCUAGUGGGCUCCAAAUUCUAUAAUAUUCUUACUGUUAUGACUUUGGUGCUUUGCUAUCUUACUCUUUGAGCAACAUAGAAUGAUGAAGAUGCCCUUGAUUUUUGCUCAACUCUUUUCAUUGAGUCGUUAAUGCUUCUAGCUACUAGUUAAUGGUUAUGCUUUUCUUUGAGAAGUUCAUGAGUUAUCUUUUUGCAUUUAUAGCUACUUAGAAAACCUGAAGUAAAUGAAGCCAUCCUAGCAUAUCAGGCCAGUGGUCUUCAAGGUAUGUUGGGAGGAAGCAAUUUCCCCUCAUCUCCAGGCUCCAUGCAACCGCCUCAACAGUCCAGGAAGUUUUUUGAUCUGGCUCAACAACAUGCUUCUGCCCAGGACAGUCAGAAUAGGAGUCAAGGUGUUGAGAGACAAACACUGACUCCCUUUCAGCAAGCUUAUUAUCAGUAUGCUUACCAGACUGCUCAGCAACAGAAGACACUUUUGGCGCAGCAGCAAGCUAAGAUGGCUAUUUUGGGCUCUGCAUCUGUUAAGGAUCAGGACAUGCGAAUUGGAAACUUUAAAAUUCUAGAACUUACUUCUAUGCAGGCAGCUAAUCAGGCUCAGGCAUCAUCCUCUAAGAACCCAUCUGAGCAGCUUGGUCGUGUUGAAAAGCAGAUUGAGCAUGGACCACAGUCAGCUACUGACCAAAGAAAUGAGCCCAAGCCACCUACCCAAGGAACAGUUACUGGACAAUUAAUGCAUGGGAAUGUUCUAAGGGCCAUGCAGGCACAACAAGCUCAGCAAACUGUUCAAAACACGGGACACGAUCAACUUGCUAUGGCUGCACAGUUGCAGUCAUGGGCACUUGAGCGUAAUAUUGAUCUGUCGCAACCUGCAAAUGCUAAUUUGAUGGCACAACUCAUUCCACUCAUGCAAUCUAGGAUGGCUGCCCACCAAAAAACAAAUGAAAGCAAUAUGGGUUCUCAGUCAUCACCUGUGCUUGUGUCCAAGCCACAGACCACUUCUCCAUCAGUUCCAAGUGACAGUUCUCCCCGUGGCUGUUCAUCAAGUGAUAUAUCUAGCCAGUCUGGCUCUGCCAAAACCAAGCCAACAGCUCUACCUAGCACAACUUCCAGCACUGGGGUGGUUAAUAAUGCUGACAACAUUGCAAUGCUGCAGUUAGCUAUUCGCGGCCAAGAUAAACAGGUCCCUCCCAGAGAGCCACUUGUUCUUGGAAGUGAGAUGCCUUCUGUGCGUCCUUCGCAAUCAUCUCCAAAUAUUAGCCUGAGUGGCAAUCCAUCUUUGCUCACAAAGAAUUCAUUAGGUGGCACAGAAACAGCAGAAACGCAGUAUCGUAAACAGUUAAAUGAAAAUUUCCCACUGCCUUCUGCUCCUAAUAAUGAUGGAGGGUCUGUUAAAAACUUACCAGCACAAGGCAAAGCAGCUAUGCAGAUGCCACAGCAACGUUUUGGUUUUACUAAAAAACAACUCCAUGUUCUCAAAGCACAAAUACUAGCAUUUAGGCGCCUGAAGGUAUGCUUAUUUCUCUCUCCCCAUCCUAUCCUUGCCUAUCUGACAUUUGUGCAUUUUCCCUUACUUUCUACCAAUUGCACAAAGUAUACUAAAGAAUAAUGUGUGGGCCAUAAUGAUUCUUGUGGUCAUUAACAGAAAGGAGAAGGUACACUUCCACAUGAGCUUCUUCGAGCCAUUGUUCCCCCACCAGUUGAGCUGCAGCAGCCACAACUUCCUCCUCUAGGUGGAAAUAACCAGGACAGAAAUGGUGGAAAGAUUGUAGAAGAUCCUCAGAAAUAUUCAGAUUCAAAGGAGAAGGUUUCACAGGCUGGGCCGUCUACCAAUGGACAUAAUAUUGUUAAAGAGGAAGCAUAUCGAGGAGAUGAUAAAGCAACUUCAUCAACAGCUCAUAUGCAAGGGGUGUCAUCUGUGGCCAAGGAAUUUUCAUCUACUUUACCUGCUGGAAAAGAAGAGCAGCAAGGUUCUGUCAUUUCUGCCAAGUCCGACCAAGAAGUAGAACACAGUCUUCAAAAAACUCCAGCUAGAAGUGAUUUUAGUGUGGAUAGGGGAAAGGCUGUUGCACCUCAACUUGCUGCAUCUGAUGGAGGGCAAGUUAAAAAACCUGUGCAGGCAAACUCUGCCCCCCAGCCAAAAGAUCCUGGCUCCGCUAGAAAGUAUCAUGGACCACUAUUUGAUUUUCCUUUCUUCACUAGGAAACAUGACUCGAAUGGUUCAGUGAUGCCUAACAUCAAUAAUAAUCUAACUCUGGCUUAUGAUGUCAAAGAGCUUCUCUUUCAGGAAGGUGUGGAAGUCUUUAGCAAGAAACGAUCAGAAAAUUUGAGGAAGAUUGGUGGUUUACUAGCAGUAAAUUUGGAGAGGAAAAGGAUCAGGCCAGAUCUUGUUCUGCGUUUGCAAAUUGAAGAAAAAAAGCUUCGACUUAUAGAUGUGCAGGCACGUUUGAGGGAUGAAGUUGACCAGCAGCAACAAGAGAUAACGGCUAUGCCUGACAGACCGUACAGAAAAUUUGUCCGCCUGUGUGAGCGUCAGCGUAUGGAGCUGGCAAGACAAAUACAAGCCACUCAGAAGGCCCUGAGAGAGAAGCAAUUGAAAUCCAUUUUUCAGUGGCGCAAGAAGCUCCUGGAAGCUCACUGGGCCAUUCGUGAUGCACGAACUGCUCGCAAUAGGGGAGUUGCCAAGUACCAUGAGAGAAUGUUACGGGAGUUUUCAAAGAGGAAAGAUGAUGAUAGGAACAAAAGGAUGGAGGCCUUGAAGAAUAAUGAUGUUGAAAGGUACAGAGAGAUGUUGAUUGAGCAGCAGACAAAUAUCCCUGGUGAUGCUGCAGAGAGAUAUGAAGUUCUUUCAUCAUUCUUGACACAGACUGAAGAGUAUCUUCAUAAACUGGGAAGUAAGAUAACAGCUGCCAAGAGUCAGCAGGAAGUGGAGGAGGCAGCAAAUGCUGCUGCUGUUGCUGCAAGGUUACAGGCAUGAUUUCUUAAACAUUCCCUCUUUUGUACCCUCUUCUGUGUUUUUUUUUUCUUUGAAUUUUUUGGACUGUUUUUGGAGCCAAAUAUAAUAUUCAAUUUCCUUUCCUCAUAAGCUUUAGGUUGAUUCUGUUUUACUUAUUUUCUUGUUUUCUACUUCUUGACAAAAGGGUUUAUCAGAAGAAGAAGUUAGGAUUGCAGCAGCUUGUGCUGGAGAGGAAGUAAUGAUAAGAAAUCGUUUUAUGGAAAUGAAUGCACCCAGGGAUGGUUCGUCUGUGAGCAAGUAAGUUAUGUUAUAAAGUUCAUUUCACAGGACUUACUGAUAAUAUAGAGGGGUUCUUCAGUUACAAAGCGUGAUUGGAAUAGGGUGUAAAUUAUGUGACAGUUAGAUGAGGCUUAUGGUCAUUUCUCAUGUUUAGUUCAACAACUAUCAUUUCAUAUGGUCAAUUUAGAUUUACGUUUUUGUUUAUUAUAACGGCAUUUGUUUCUUAGAAGCCACCAAAAUUCUGGCAAUUUUAUUUAUUUGUUGUUUUUUGUGGUCAUAAACAGGUACUAUAAUCUUGCUCAUGCUAUUAAUGAAAGAGUCAUAAGGCAACCGUCGAUGCUACGAGCUGGAACAUUACGAGACUAUCAGCUUGUAGGUUGCUAUAUUAAAAAUAUUGGGCUUCUUUCCUACCUUUUUAAAAAAAAAAAAUUUCUCGGUUCUUGGCCCUUUUAGUUUAAUACUAUUAAUUAUAGCAAGUUAAAAUUUCUCUGACAUCUACGUAUUUUAUUUUGUAGGUUGGUUUGCAGUGGAUGCUUUCUUUGUAUAACAAUAAAUUAAAUGGUAUAUUGGCUGAUGAGAUGGGCCUUGGGAAGACUGUUCAGGUAUUGUUAUUUGGGAGUUAGAUCAGGUGUUGGGAUUAGUUAGAGCAUUUAUUGUUUCAGUAGAUAAUCAAAAGAUACAAUAGCGCUGUUGAUAACUUCUUAGAUUUUGCCCUAAUGUGUAGGUUAUGGCUUUGAUUGCUUAUUUGAUGGAAUUUAAAGGAAACUACGGUCCACAUCUUAUAAUUGUUCCUAAUGCAGUUCUGGUAAAUUGGAAGGUUAGUUUUGUUUUUGAUGUAUAUUGAUGGCUUUGACAUUUUCCUGAUAUCUUUGAAUAGAUAUAACUGAGUCCUUUUGCAGAGUGAGCUCCAUAAUUGGCUGCCAUCUGUGUCAUGCAUCUACUAUGUUGGAGCAAAAGAUCAACGUUCAAAAUUAUUUUCUCAAGUAAGAACUACAACUUUCUGUGAUUAGUUAUUUCUUGAAGUGUCAAAACUUGCUGAACUUUCUUUUUGUUUACUUGUUUCAUAGGAGGUUUUGGCUAUGAAAUUUAAUGUCCUUGUGACAACUUAUGAAUUCAUCAUGUACGAUCGGUCUAAACUUUCUAAAAUUGAUUGGAAGUACAUUAUAAUUGACGAGGCCCAGCGAAUGAAAGACAGAGAAUCUGUUUUAGCUCGUGACCUUGAUAGGUACCGCUGCCAAAGGCGUUUGCUUCUUACUGGGACACCAUUACAGGUCUGUUAAGGCAGCUCUCUGAUAUGAUUGGAAAUAGAAAAAAGUACACAUACAUAUAUGCAUACAGAUUGAAAACCUUUAAACAACUCUUUUGCUUUACUUCCAUGACUGGCAUCCACUUGAAAUAAUAUGACCACCAUUUUUCUUGACAACUUUACUUUGCAUAUGCUGAGGCACGCACACAAGAGCAUCUUCAUUUAGGGUAGGCCCUCUAUGAAAAGUGUCUCAUAACUUGAGAUAUCCUAAAUUCCCAUUACUAUGUUUUCAUGUCUUUUGUUAUUGGUUAUUCACUAAAUAUCCAUGCGAGGGAUGAAAAAGGAGGUACCACAUGGAUGCUUAUGUCUUAUAAUGUUGUUUAUGAGUCAUGGUAGGAAUUAGAGAGUACUUUCCUAACCAUAUUUUAGCUGUUUCUUGCCUUUCUUUUGUUUUUUUACGGUGUGUCUCAUUUAGUUAGCCUGUUUUUUACACUUUAGUUUAUAUCCUACAGUAUGGCGUAUUUGAUUCAUUUAAGUAAUAAACCUAUUUAACUUUUCUCUUUUCCCAUGCUCACUUUCUUAUAUGCGUGCGUGUGUGCCUAUUGCUUAUUUGAUAAUUUUAACAAUUUAUUUAUUUAUUUGUUUUAAUACUGCAGAAUGACUUGAAAGAACUCUGGUCCCUGUUAAAUCUUCUCCUUCCUGAAGUGUUUGAUAAUCGCAAGGCAUUUCAUGAUUGGUUUUCACAACCAUUUCAAAAGGAAGGCCCUACCCACAAUGCAGAGGAUGAUUGGCUUGAGACGGAGAAGAAGGUUAUCAUCAUCCACCGACUUCAUCAAAUUCUUGAGCCUUUUAUGCUUAGACGUCGCGUUGAAGAUGUGGAAGGUUCACUUCCUCCAAAGGUAUACUGUUAUUGCUGUCUUUCUUUUAUAAUCACUUAACAUACUGCUGUUUCCAAUGACAUUAUUUCAUUGGUUGAUUGCAGGUUUCGAUAGUUUUAAGAUGCAGAAUGUCGGCUAUUCAGAGUGCCAUUUAUGAUUGGAUAAAAUCAACUGGGACUCUUCGAGUUGAUCCUGAAGAUGAGAAGCGCAGGGUUCAAAAGAACCCAAUAUACCAAGCUAAGGUGUAUAAAACUUUAAAUAACCGGUGUAUGGAGCUCAGGAAGACUUGCAAUCAUCCUUUGCUUAAUUACCCGUAUUUCAAUGACUUAUCUAAAGAUUUCCUUGUAAGAUCUUGUGGGAAAUUGUGGAUCCUAGACAGGAUCCUAAUAAAACUGCAGAGAACUGGGCAUCGUGUAUUACUCUUUAGUACCAUGACGAAGCUUUUAGAUAUCUUGGAGGAAUACUUGCAGUGGAGGAGGCUUGUUUACAGACGUAUUGAUGGAACAACUAGCUUGGAAGAUCGUGAAUCAGCUAUUGUUGACUUCAAUAGUCCUGAUUCUGAAUGCUUCAUAUUCUUACUAAGUAUACGUGCAGCUGGUCGUGGUUUAAAUCUUCAAACUGCUGACACUGUUGUUAUAUAUGAUCCUGAUCCUAAUCCUAAAAAUGAGGAACAGGCGGUUGCUAGAGCUCACCGAAUUGGACAAACAAGGGAGGUCAAAGUCAUUUACAUGGAAGCAGUUGUUGACAAAAUCUCUAGUCAGCAGAAGGAGGAUGAAAUAAGGAGUGGGGGUACAGUUGAUUUUGAGGAUGAUUUUGCAGGUAAGGAUAGAUAUAUGGGGUCAAUUGAGAGCCUCAUAAGGAAUAACAUUCAACAAUAUAAAAUCGACAUGGCUGAUGAAGUAAUCAAUGCUGGACGUUUUGACCAGAGAACAACACAUGAAGAGAGACGCAUGACUUUAGAAACUUUAUUACACGAUGAGGAGAGGUAUCAGGAAACUGUCCAUGAUGUUCCCUCGUUGCACCAGGUAAACCGCAUGAUAGCAAGAAGCGAGGAAGAAGUGGAGUUGUUUGAUCAAAUGGAUGAAGAACUGGAUUGGACUGAGGAGAUGACUUGCCAUGAACAGGUACCUAAGUGGCUUCGAGCCAGUACAAGUGAAGUGAAUGCUACUGUGGCUACUUUAUCAAAAAAGCCAUCAAAGAAUAUUUUAUUUUCUGCCAGUGUUGGUGCUGAAUCCCAUGAAAUGGAGACAGAGAGAAAAAGGGGUCGACCCAAGGGGAAAAAGCAUCCUAACUAUAAGGAAAUAGAUAAUGAGAAUGGGGAAUACUCUGAAGCAAGUUCUUAUGAGAGAAAUGGUUAUUCUGGGACUGAGGAAGAGGGGGAAAUUGGCGAAUUUGAAGAUGAUGAAUUUAGUGGUGCUGUUGGGGACCCACCUAUUACUAAGUACCAGUCUGAAGAUGGCCCUCUUGGCGAUGAUGGGUAUGAAUAUGCCCAGACUUCAGAACACAUUAGAAAUGAUCGGAUGCUUGACGAAGCUGGUUCUUCUGGAUCAUCAUUGGACAGUCGAAAACCACAGCAGAUAGUGUCUCCCAUUUCUCCUCAGAAAUUUGGCUCUCUUUCCGCAUUAGAUGCUAGGCCUGGUUCUGUUGUAAGAAGGCUGGUAUGUCUCUUUUCCUUUAUCGAUUUGUUAUUAUGGCAUUUUUCAAUUCUGCUAUUUUCUUAUGUUAUGUUAAUGUUGGCAGCCUGAUGAACUAGAGGAAGGUGAAAUUGCAGCAUCAGGAGAUUCUCACGUGGACCACCAGCAGUCUGAAAGUUGGAUUCAUGAUCGUGAUGAAGGUGAAUAUGAACAAGUUGUCCAACCCAAGAUAAAAAGAAAGCGUAGUAUCCGGGUUCGACCUCGUCAUACUGUAGAAAGGGCAGAGGAAAAAUCUGUCACCGAAGUGCCUCAUCUCGAACGUGGAGAUUCAUCUUUGUUGCCUUUCCAGCUAGACCAAAAAUACCAAUCACAACUGAGGAUUGACACUGAAACAAAAGCAACUCGGGAGCGUAAUGCGAUCAAGCAUGAUCCAAAUGAUUCAUCUUCAAAAUGUAGGAGGAACUUACCUUCAAUAAAAAUAGCUAAUACAUCAAAGUUGCAUGCAUCUCUGAAGUCUGGUAAAAUGCAUUCUGAGUCUGCUCCUGCAGAUGCUGGCAAAUCCUCCAGAGAGAGUUGGGACAAUAAACUGGUUAAUACAAGUGGGUCUUCGAAUUCUGGUGCUAAGAUGUCUGAUCUCAUCCAAAGAAAGGUAAACUUGAGGUGACUUUAAUUCUGGUAGUGUCUGAUUGUGAAUCUGUUUUUUUUUUUAUUACUACUAUUUUAUCCAUCAUGGAUUUUUGCUGGUCAUUAGUGCUAAGUUGGAUUUAUAAACCUUGCUUUUGUAUUUUGAAUUGCUUGAUGGUGUUGCUUGUAGGCACUUAAUAGGCAAAGCUAUGGUCCUGAAUUUCUUCGGUUUCUUCAUUUUGCAUCUUUCUUAUUGUACCAAAUACUGCAGGAUACACAGAUUUCACCUAAGUGGGUGCUCUCAUCAACAAAAUAGCUUUAGGUUUUGUUAGAACACACAUUUGAAUAAGUGGGGUGCAUUUUAUGCAUGAUGAGGAUUUUCUUUUUGAGAUUAGGAAGUUUGUGUUCCAUAAUAUGCUUUUAUCUUUUUUUCUACCUUUUUGUUUGCUUUGCCAUGUCCGUUUUUUGUUUGCUUUGCCAUGUCCGUUUAUGUUGUGUUUUUCAGAAUUGAUCUUCAUGUUAUUUUGUCUUGAGUCAUUGAUAUUUUGCAUGGUUUCCAUAUGCCAAGUAACUGGAAACUUGGUAUAUCAAAAUAUCUUCCCUUUUAAAAAACAGAGUACUUUUAACCUUUGACCUUAAUACCUGUUUAACUGCUUAGGUUACAUGUUAUGCUAUUUUCUAUUAAGGAAAUGACUAAAAAAUUCUCAUAUGUCCAGUGUAAAAAUGUGAUUAGCAAGCUUCAGAGGAGAAUAGAUAAGGAGGGUCAACAAAUUGUACCUUCGUUAACAGAUUUGUGGAAGAGGAUUGAAAAAUCUGGUUAUAUGGGUGGAAGUGGAAGUAAUAAUUUGGACUUGCAGAAGAUUGAUCAGCGUGUUGACAGGUUAGAGUACAGUGGAGUUAUGGAGCUUGUUGCAGAUGUGCAGUUAGUGUUAAAAAGUGCAAUGCAAUUUUAUGGGUUUUCUCUCGAGGUAUGAUAUCUAUUUAACUUGUCCUUCAGCAUCUUUACAUGUUCAUAAGCCAACUCACUUUUGCAUCACCCUUUUGAAUUUUGCCGUGGAUGGUCUUUUCUGGGAGCAAUUGCUUCGAAGGCUUUUCAAAGAAAUUCACAUACAAGUAUUUUGUGUUUUCAAGUGGCUAGAAAUCCAUUCAAAAGAAAAAGCUAGAAAUUUGUAUCACCUAGAAAAUGUUCUAAUCCCCUUCCUAUAAUUCUCUCAUUGAUGUCCUGAUUUGUGUACUUUGGAAAUGUAAUUGGUAUGCAGGUCAGGUCUGAAGCAAGGAAAGUACAUGAUCUAUUUUUUGAUUUGUUGAAGAUCGCAUUUCCGGAUACUGAUUUCCGAGAAGCUAGAAAUGCUCUCUCCUUCUCUAGUCUGGUAUCUACCUCCACCAUGGGCUCAUCUGCCAGACAGGCUGCUGUUGGCAAGAGGCAAAAGCCGAUAAAAGAGGUGGAAUCUGAUUCAGGACUCACUCAAAAGUCAUUGCAACGCCGGUCCAGUCGUGCUGGUGAGGACACAAGGAUUAGAGUGCACAUGCCCCAAAAGGAAUCAAGGGUUGGGUGUGUAAGUGGCAUUACCAAGGAACUAUACCAGCAAGACGAUUCUAUUCUGACACAUCCUGGAGAGCUAGUUAUUUGCAAGAAGAAGAGGAAAGACAGGGAAAAGUCUAUGGUGAAGCCCAGGACUGGAUUGGCUGGCCCUGUUUCACCCCCAAGUAUAGCACGCAGCAUCAAGAGUCCGACGACAGGAUCAUUUUCUAAGGAUGCUGCUAGACUGACCCAGCAGACCGCCCAUCAGCAAAGUUGGCACCAGCCUGCUCAUCCGCCGAACGGUGGGAGUGUUGGUUGGGCCAAUCCUGUGAAAAAGUUGAGGACAGAUGCAGGUAAAAGGAGACCGAGCCAUUUAUGACCUUGUAGAGGAUCAGCUAAUGGAAAAUGUGUGCUGCCAUUGAGUUUAUUCUGGGGCGGUUCAUUGUUUGUACAAUUGCAAUUAGAUUUACCAUUAACGUAGUGUAGGUUCCUCGAACCCAGUUUUUUCGUGGUUUCAAUACAAUGGUUUCCAUAUCUGCACCUUGCGGGUAUUAUUAUCUAGAGUAUUUGAUAGCUGAGACGUGUAAAUUAUACCUUCGUUUCAUCAUCAUAGAAGUAAAUAUUUUAACUGAAGGACGUAUCCAACUUUUGCUAGUAUACGAAUUUCUACGUCUUUGUCGCUUGUCAACGUGUGUAAUUGGAUCAAAAGUCAUGUCCUCGUGUUAACGGUGGUUGAAAAUACCAAAGAGGCCGAAUUUUGUUGGACCUUCAGAUUUAGAUUCAACAGUUUAAAAAAACAAUUAAGAAAUAAAUAUUAAAAAAAGAAAAAUAUAAAAGACAAGGCAAGUAUAUUUACAAAAAAUUUAAACAUAGAAAUAAAUCUGAAUAUAAAAAAAAUUUUAAUUAUUAAAAUUAAAAAAAAAUUCAUGUCAGGAAUAUUGUAUUAUUAAGUAGAUAUAUAUCAAGAUUAAGAUAAAUCAAGGGCGUAGUUAGGGGAAUUGGCGGGACCUUAGAACCCCUAAAAUAGAAAAAAUUCUAUUUAAACCUUUUAAAAAUUUAAAUUUGUAAAAGUAAAAUGAUAUUUUGGCCCCCUAAAAAUGAUAAAAUUUUGAUUUAAUCCUUUAAAAUUAUAAAGAUAUAGGCUAUUAAAAUAAUAAAAUUACAUUUUUACUAUCAUAAAAGUUAGAAUUUAAUUUCUGCCCCCUAAAAAUUUUUUCUGGCUUUGCCAUUAAGGGCACAUUUGGUUCGCUGUAUUGGAUUAGAGGUGUAAUGGAAUAGAGGUGUAAUAGCAAAUCAACUGUUUGGUUGAAUGUAAUGGAAUAGAGGCGUAAUAGUAAUCUUGUGUUUGGUUGAAUGGAAUAGAGGUGUAAUAACAUAAUGGAAAAAACUAAAAUGACUAGAAUACCCUUAGCAUAAAUUUAUUUUGGUAAAUGAUUAUUGUUAUUGUUAUUUAAAUUUUAAUAAGAUUAUUAUUAUCAAUAAUAAAUAAUUUAAUCAUAUUUAAACAUGAUUAUUAUUAAAUAUAUUAUAAUUAAAAUAUAUAAUUUAAUAAAAUUCUUAAUAAUCAAUAUUCUUAUAUGAAUUUACUCAAAUCAUAAUAUAUGAUACUAUAAAAGAUAAUUUGAAAUGAUUAAUAUUAAAUAUAUUUUAAUUAAAAUAUAUGAUUUAAUAAAAUUUAAAAUAAUUAUAACUAAUAAUUUAAAAUUUAAAAUGUUAAAUUUACUUAACAACAUAAUGAAUUAGGGUUUUUCUUCAUAUUUCCAAUUAUGUAUUCCAUUUCCGACCAUAAAGCACCUUUCAACUCAUAUCAUCAGUGAUUUUCUGUCCAUUGACAAAUUAGGAUUCUAUUGUUUGUGCAUCAACAAUUUCGAAUUCUAAAAUUUAGAACUUAAAUUUAAUUAUAUAAGCUUAAAUAAAAUUUAAUUAUUUUUUGUGUUGUCCUCCGAUUGAGAAUUGCAAGUGAAUGACGUGAAAAUUCUGUUAAUAUAAACUUGAUUUGUUAAUUUCGACUCUUAAUUUGGAUAAAUAGAGUUCAAAUCCAACAAUCUUAAACACCAAAAACGUAGUGAAAAUUCAUUCUUAUAGAGGACCUUCCUGAUCCAACCACAAAGUACAAACUAAACAUUUUCCCUUUUCAAGUUAAUGUCCCACAUAUACAACAUUUAGGACUUUAAGGAAAAGAAAAAAUAAACCAAAAUUUAACCUGAUAUUUAUAGAACAAGAAUCAGCAGGAAGAAGUAAAAUGUAGAAUUUGAAACCAAAAGAAAAAAGAGCGAUGAAUAUCCAAACUAGAUCAGAAAUUAGUGUAAUUAAGAGAGGUAACAUCGUGGUAUUCACAUGUGAUGUCAUUUGUCUACGUGCAUGACACUCUAUAUAUACACUUCUACACCAUGCUUUGGGUGUCAAACUUAUCAAAAUUCAAUUACGUUGUUUAUCUGAACAGAAAAGGAUGGACGUCCCACACUGGACAGCGGCGUGUCAACUCUUACUACUAUCCCCGAGUUCCCAACAUUUCCGUUCCACUUAGAACGCCCGAGCUCUGUAAUUGGUAAACACAACAGAAGCAUGAAGAUCAUGCAACUCAGGUUCAAUUUACAAGAAAUUCAUGCAAUUUGUAAGAAGGCUUAAUGAAGAUCUUGAAAGGCAGUGUAUGAAAGGUAAUAUCCUCAACAUGAAUUGUAAGUGCAGGCAAGGAGACAUAGAUUUACAAACUCUAAACCGUUGCAAAUAAACACAAAUAAGGAGAAUCUCACCUAAAUUGAAUGGAUAGCUUCAUCAUGAGCCCAGACCGCUUCCAAGCCAAGGCUUGUGAAAGACCUAGUGCAAAUGAUUUGUCAGGCCAUAGAACCAUUGGUGUGAUACGAGUUCCCCAUUUAUUCUGAUGAACUAUCCAAACAAAAAGUUUCAGCACUCUUACAGAAAGCACCCCAAAAUAGAAUAGUGAAUCCUUACGCCAAAGUUGUUUCAGAAAAACUAAUUAACUACAACUUUUGAUGCCUGUCAUGUUGGCAGGCAGUAAGAGCUUAAGACUGACCUUGCAUGAGAAACUAUAUCUCAUUUCCCCUGGGUAUUGGCCCUGAGCCUGAAGAAGGCCCCCACAAAGAGGAAGGAAAGCACUUGUUGUCAGCCCCUCAUAAGAUACGUAGGUCAACUGUCCAUUUGGAAAUUGCAAAUCUACAAAUGACUGAAUAAAAGAAAGGAUAGUAAACAUGGCAAAGAGAUUGUCUAUGUUAGAAAGUCACCUCAAGCAGAUAAAACUUUCUUGAAUAUUUAGUGCAGAAAGCUAAAAAUAAUUAUAAACCAUAGCAUGGUAGAUCACAUCUGCCAUUUCUGAGGCAGUACAUGAACUGUCCUCUUUCUCCUCCAGUGUUCGGCACUACUCAUCUGCUUCUUCCCUGCAUUAGUAAACUGAUCACUUAAAAAUAGGAACAGACAUCGUAAUUGUUCCAAGAUAGGAACUCAAAUAUGUCUGAAACUUGAGAGAACCUCUAAUCUGCUAGUACUGAUAUAAGUUCAACCCACCCAAAAAUAGGCCUUAGUUAACCUAUUAAAAAUUGAAUAAAUAUACUAGUUAACAAAUACCCAAAGUUCCCUGAUAAACUUGCAGCAUCUAACCAAUAAAAUUAUAUACACAGUCAAAAUAUAAAUUUAACACCACACACAAACAGACACAUAUGUAUAUACAUGUAUACAUAUAUGUAAACUCUGGCUAAAGAAACAUAGAUGAAGUAAUCAAAAAAUUAAACAGAUCAAAACUCAAUAGACAAUCAAAAUCUCAACUUUUUUUUUCUUUUCAAAUCAAUAGCAAAAAAAGAAGAAGACCAAGCCAAGGCAAUCAAAACUUCAAAUUUAUUUUUGGCCAAAGAAAACCCUUAACUUCAUCAACAAAUAAUCAAAACCCAAAUCAGAAAAUUAGCUGAAAACCCCUUUCCGUGCAAUCAAAACUCAGGUCCAAAAUGAAAUCAAUCCUUGAAUUUAUGGACCAAUGAUCAAAAACCCAUAUAAAAUAAGCUACAUAAAGAUCCACACCAGAAGAACUUACCAGGAAAAACCCCAUCUUUUGGCAUACUCCACAAAACGAGUAAAUUCUGCAACAGAAAAAGGAUUUUGAGAGGAUAAAAAAGAAGAAAAAGAAAAAAAGAGGGAGAAAUGGAUGGACAGAGAAAGAGGGUAAACAGGGUAUAAAACUUGAAGCAACACCUAAACUGAGCAAAAGAAACUGAUUAGAAAUCGGUAGAUUUUGGGGAUUAGAUCAGUAAUGUAUUAGACCCGUAAUAGCAAUACACUGAACCAAACAAAGGAUUGAAGGGGGAUUAAGUGGGGCCCACUGAUUAGGGAUGUAUUGGCUAUGCCAAUACACCCAACCAAACAUGCUGUAAGAUAAGUUUGAUAUACUUGAAGACUCUAAGGGGAUGUUUGGUUGAAGGUAAUGGCAUGCCUAUUACAAGCCUACUCUGCAGACCCACUUAAACAGAUGUUUGGUUCAACGGAAUACCCUAUUACGGGUGUAUUCCAUUCCGGGAUUAAGUAGAGAUAUUUGGGGAUUUCUAUUCCCUUCCCUCUUCACCGUUUACCUAUUCGUUGCCAUAUGAACCCUAUUUUACCCUCACAAAUUCUCACAUCAAAAACAUUCAAACGGCAGCCAUUUCAUGCUUCCAUUUUCCUUCUACUGUUCCUUCCAUUUUCCUGUCUUUUUUUUUUCUUACCCAAGUUGCGUGCCGAGUGGGGGCAUUAAGGUGGCUUGGGACGAGAGAGAAUCGAACAACCAGUCGGCUUGGGAAGGGGCUGAGUGGGCCCUUGCUGGCUCAACGUGUGAGAGGGAGGUGUGCAGAAAUAGUGCAGUACAAUAACAUCAAAUUUCAAGUGUGGGAUUUAGGUAUGAUGAUCACUACUUCUUGAUCUGGAUCUUUAACAUGUAUAGUAGAUUUUUUAUAGUACUGUCCUGAAAGUUUGAUAAUAUUUUAUUAUCGAUUUGAUUGUUUGAAG